rnacentral:rRNA from 1 species
UUGAAGAGUUUGAUCAUGGCUCAGAUUGAACGCUGGCGGCAGGCCUAACACAUGCAAGUCGAACGGUAACAGGAAGAAGCUUGCUUCUUUGCUGACGAGUGGCGGACGGGUGAGUAAUGUCUGGGAAACUGCCUGAUGGAGGGGGAUAACUACUGGAAACGGUAGCUAAUACCGCAUAACGUCGCAAGACCAAAGAGGGGGACCUUCGGGCCUCUUGCCAUCGGAUGUGCCCAGAUGGGAUUAGCUUGUUGGUGGGGUAACGGCUCACCAAGGCGACGAUCCCUAGCUGGUCUGAGAGGAUGACCAGCCACACUGGAACUGAGACACGGUCCAGACUCCUACGGGAGGCAGCAGUGGGGAAUAUUGCACAAUGGGCGCAAGCCUGAUGCAGCCAUGCCGCGUGUAUGAAGAAGGCCUUCGGGUUGUAAAGUACUUUCAGCGGGGAGGAAGGGAGUAAAGUUAAUACCUUUACUCAUUGACGUUACCCGCAGAAGAAGCACCGGCUAACUCCGUGCCAGCAGCCGCGGUAAUACGGAGGGUGCAAGCGUUAAUCGGAAUUACUGGGCGUAAAGCGCACGCAGGCGGUUUGUUAAGUCAGAUGUGAAAUCCCCGGGCUCAACCUGGGAACUGCAUCUGAUACUGGCAAGCUUGAGUCUCGUAGAGGGGGGUAGAAUUCCAGGUGUAGCGGUGAAAUGCGUAGAGAUCUGGAGGAAUACCGGUGGCGAAGGCGGCCCCCUGGACGAAGACUGACGCUCAGGUGCGAAAGCGUGGGGAGCAAACAGGAUUAGAUACCCUGGUAGUCCACGCCGUAAACGAUGUCGACUUGGAGGUUGUGCCCUUGAGGCGUGGCUUCCGGAGCUAACGCGUUAAGUCGACCGCCUGGGGAGUACGGCCGCAAGGUUAAAACUCAAAUGAAUUGACGGGGGCCCGCACAAGCGGUGGAGCAUGUGGUUUAAUUCGAUGCAACGCGAAGAACCUUACCUGGUCUUGACAUCCACAGAACCUUGUAGAGAUACGAGGGUGCCUUCGGGAACUGUGAGACAGGUGCUGCAUGGCUGUCGUCAGCUCGUGUUGUGAAAUGUUGGGUUAAGUCCCGCAACGAGCGCAACCCUUAUCCUUUGUUGCCAGCGGUCCGGCCGGGAACUCAAAGGAGACUGCCAGUGAUAAACUGGAGGAAGGUGGGGAUGACGUCAAGUCAUCAUGGCCCUUACGACCAGGGCUACACACGUGCUACAAUGGCGCAUACAAAGAGAAGCGACCUCGCGAGAGCAAGCGGACCUCAUAAAGUGCGUCGUAGUCCGGAUUGGAGUCUGCAACUCGACUCCAUGAAGUCGGAAUCGCUAGUAAUCGUGGAUCAGAAUGCCACGGUGAAUACGUUCCCGGGCCUUGUACACACCGCCCGUCACACCAUGGGAGUGGGUUGCAAAAGAAGUAGGUAGCUUAACCUUCGGGAGGGCGCUUACCACUUUGUGAUUCAUGACUGGGGUGAAGUCGUAACAAGGUAACCGUAGGGGAACCUGCGGUUGGAUCACCUCCUU